UCCCUACGGGGCGCAGCAGGCGCGAAAACUUUACAAUGCGGGAAACCGUGAUAAGGGAACCCCGAGUGCCUGUAUAUGCAGGCUGUCCAGGUGUCUAAAAAACACCUGAAGAAAGGGCCGGGCAAGACCGGUGCCAGCCGCCGCGGUAAUACCGGCGGCUCGAGUGGUGGCCACUUUUAUUGGGCUUAAAGCGUUCGUAGCUGGGUUGUUAAGUCUCUUGGGAAAUCUGACGGCUCAACCGUCAGG
rnacentral:rRNA from 1 species